rnacentral:rRNA from 1 species
CCUACGGGAGGCAGCAGUGAGGAAUAUUGGUCAAUGGGCGCGAGCCUGAACCAGCCAAGUCGCGUGAGGGAAGACGGUCCUAUGGAUUGUAAACCUCUUUUGUCGGGGAGCAAAAGACGCCACGCGUGGCGUUCCGAGAGUACCCGAAGAAAAAGCAUCGGCUAACUCCGUGCCAGCAGCCGCGGUAAUAGGGGGGAUGCGAGCGUUAUCCGGAUGUAUUGGGUUUAAGGGGGGCGCAGGCGGAAGUUCAAGUCAGCGGUAAAAUUGAGAGGCACAACCUCUUCGGGCCGUUGAAACUGGUUUUCUUGAGUGAGUGAGAAGUAUGCGGAAUGCGGGGUGUAGCUGUGAAAUGCAUAGAUAUCACGCAGAACUCCGAUUGCGAAGGCAGCAUACCGGCGCUCAACUGACGCUCAUGCACGAAAGUGUGGGUAUCGAACAGGAUUAGAUACCCUAGUAGUC